AUUGAACGCUGGCGGCAGGCCCAACACAUGCAAGUCGAGCGGCAGCGGAAGGAAGCUUGCUUUCUUGCCGGCGAGCGGCGGACGGGUGAGUAAGGUAUGGGGAUCUGGCCGAAGGCGGGGGAUAACCACUGGAAACGGUGGCUAAUACCGCAUAAUCUCUAAGGAGCAAAGUGGGGGACCGUUCAGGCCUCACACCUUCGGAUGAACCCAUAUGAGAUUAGCUAGUAGGUGGGGUAAUGGCUCACCUAGGCGACGAUCUCAAGCUGGUCUGAGAGGAUGAUCAGCCACACUGGGACUGAGACACGGCCCAGACUCCUACGGGAGGCAGCAGUGGGGAAUAUUGCACAAUGGGCGCAAGCCUGAUGCAGCCAUGCCGCGUGUAUGAAGAAGGCCUUCGGGUUGUAAAGUACUUUCAGUCGUGAAGAAGGUGUUAAGGUUAAUAACCUUAGCAAUUGACGUUAGCGACAGAAGAAGCACCGGCUAACUCCGUGCCAGCAGCCGCCGUAA
rnacentral:rRNA from 1 species